GUUUACGGCCAUACCAGCCUGGGUACGCCCGAUCUCGUCUGAUCUCGGAAGCUAAGCAGAGUCGGGCCUGGUUAGUACUUGGAUGGGAGACUACCUGGGAAUACCAGGUGCUGUAAGCU
rnacentral:rRNA from 1 species